AAGUGAACAGCUCUAGAAGCAUCUAGGAGGCUCAGCCACUGCUGCUGGGCUCUGAGGAAGGAAGAGAGCUGGCCCCUGAGCACUGGGGAGACCUUGACCCUCCUCCUCCCACUUUCCCAAUGCCAGCCUCUAGGCAGUCAGGGCUGGACCUAGAUUUUGGAGGACUUGGAGUUCCUCCACAGCCAGCUCAGACCAGAGUUAUGCUGACAACUCACAGCAAAUUCAGACAGUCUGCAAGGCAGCCCUCCUACUGUGCUCAGCCUGGAUCACCCUGGCACCAGAAAACCUGCUUACCUUCAGCAAAGGAGCCUUUGAUCUCCUCCACCUUGGAUGACUGACAAUUCCAGAUUGAAGCCAUCCCUAGGGGGGAGAUACAGAAAGGGGACUGGGAACCCAACAGCCAUCUAGGCAGCCACAACCUCCUGUUUUCCUGCCUGAGCACCUCUCAGGACACACUAUGGAGGACCACCCUGCUUGCCCAAGCCUGGAGGCUCAACAGCCAGCAGGCCACUUGGAGCAGUUUGGAAAAAGGGAUGGAGCUGUGAGCUUCAGCACUGAUGGGAGCUGCAAAAGAGAGUGAGGUUCAACCCCAGCAGAAUCAUUCCAGUCUCUGCCAAGGUUUCUGAUCCUGGAGCCUGAACCACAGCAGAAGAAAUUAAUUCUGUCUAGGUGUAGACACUGAACGCUGGUCCUAGGACAAUAUCCUCCAUUGAAGCAGAGAUCAAAGAAGCUGUGAGGAAAGAAGGAGGCAGAGAGCAGAGCUGUGGCAGGCCAUUCAGAAAGGGGAUCUUGAAGAGAACCCCUGGCUCAGGAGGAAGGAAGGUGUCGAACUGGAGAUAACCUGAGAACUUGCUUGUGUUUCAGUCUUCAGAGAACUGCAGGAAAGAUCUGAACACCCAGAUGGGUGGUGUAUCUACUGUACCUCCCAAUACAUGCACCCUGACUUCAAUUGAUGGAGUAUCAGCAUGGAAGCUUUUUCUAUGUUUAUUAAUGAAUUUGUUCAUUUAUUCAUACAUCCAAUUUUCAUUCAUUCAUUCAUUCAUUCAUUCAUUCAUUCAUUCUGUGGUAGUUUAAAGGAAGGUGUCCCUCAUAUUUGAAUGUUUGGUUCCUAGUUUGUAGAACUCUUUUCCAAAGAUAAGAAGAUGUGUUCUUUUUGGAAAAACACCAGGAGGACAAGACUCCAGGGAAAGAAAGUGAAACCCUGGUGUUCUAUGGAAUCACCUGCAUACUCAAUGUGAGAACAAAGUGGGUUCUCCCAGAAUCCCACCCGAGCCUGCUGGGCAGAGUGUGAUACUGGUCACAAAAGAAUCAGAAACAAAACGACAGAAAAGAAACCGCUUAUGGUUUUUGUAAUCUCAGUCGAGUUUCGUUCAUAGUCCUCUGACCGCUGAAGGGAACUUUGCACGUUGGACAUCUAACAGACUUAAAACGUAACUUCACUGAUGCUCAACUGCACGAUAUCCGCGAAUGGCAAGCAAUCGCGGAAUUGAUCUUUCAUCCUUUAGAAACCCAGGACGCCUGAGACCUAAGAUAGGAACAGAAAACCUAGCAAUCUCAUCAUCCCUGGUGUAACUGCUAUGGUUUGGUUUCAUCGCGCUGGACCAUGCCUCCUCUUCCGCGAAUUGAAGAAAGCCAAAAGACAGACCUCCUUCCCAAUGCAAGUUGUGUCAGGGUUGCCCCUCCCCCCAUGCUCCCACCCCCGGAUGGCCUUUCCAUGACUCCUAGACACCGGCUGAUCCACGCUGCAGUGCCUUGGAAAACGCAGCAGCACAACCCAAAACAUUUCCCUUAAAAUCGUUUACUAAAGGCCUAAGAAAAGACACGGAGCAUCAAGUACAAAUCGCUGUUUCUUUAUUGUGGAAGCAGAGGUGUACUCUGAAGCUAACCAGCUGCAGGGAAUGAAGAGUUUUGUG